rnacentral:rRNA from 1 species
UACGAAGGGGGCUAGCGUUGCUCGGAAUUACUGGGCGUAAAGGGUGCGUAGGCGGGUCUUUAAGUCAGGGGUGAAAUCCUGGAGCUCAACUCCAGAACUGCCUUUGAUACUGAGGAUCUUGAGUUCGGGAGGGGUGAGUGGAACUGCGAGUGUAGAGGUGAAAUUCGUAGAUAUUCGCAAGAACACCAGUGGCGAAGGCGGCUCACUGGCCCGAUACUGACGCUGAGGCACGAAAGCGUGGGGAGCAAACAGG